CUCUUUUGCUCGCGGGGACGGAGCUACGGGUUAGACAAGCGAGCCGAGCUUGAGCUCGUCCCGGUCGCGAUCCCAAGGUCGCGGCGGCGGCGGCCGGGCAAGGAGCGGCGGCGGCCCUGGGUGAGGGCGGCGUCGGGUUGAAGGAGGUGCCGGGCAGACGUGGAGACGGGAGACGGCGUCGGCCCCGUUGACCUUCGGCGGCGGCGCGGGGAGACGUGGCCGGCGGGUGCCGCGCAGGCAGGGCUUCGACGUCUAGUAGGUCGGGAGGUGAGGAGGUGCCAAUUCUACUGAACACGUAUCUAGCUCGAAGUCAGACUACCUAAGACUGCUGUUCUUCAAACCGUUUCCUGGAUCCCUCGAGUGACCACGACAACUAAAUUAUUCAGUCAUGUUUAACCUCGACGUGGUACUAAAGAAAACGUUCUCCGGAAACGGUGAACGUUAGAGUCUAUGUGUAAUGGAAGUGUUACAUCACCCCCUGUGACUUUAAGCCUUUCCUCUUCCUUACCUCGAUCUAGUUGAGCAAGUCUUACGUAUGAAUUCCCUGUUCAGACGAAGAUAAUUCGGGAAACUAUACCUUUGUGACCCCGUUCGUAAAGUCGAAGCUCUUUGACGAGGUCAUCUAAAUGGGAGACGACUUUUUCCAUAUGGAUGGUAAAGCCCGUUUGGCUUUUCACUCAGGUUCCUGUUUCUCUUUUUUGUAUUUUUCGUGUUUCUGUUUCUAUUCCUGUCCCUCGUAUUCUUCGUGUUUGUAGCUGUAUUCCUAGCCAGAUUUCUGUUUCUGUUCCUGUUCCUAUCCUUUUUCCUAUUCGUAGUACUCUUCUUCUCCUUCGUACUCCCCUGCCUCCUAAGCCGUCUGCACGUAUUCGUGUUUUUUUCGUUCGUAUUCUCAAGGUUUUGGCUACUCUACCCAUUACCUGAAUCAAUUGAUGUCCAAAAGAAGAAUGAAGAUAACAGUUAGUUACAGUAUAAGACAAUCUUCCUCCGAGUUUUCUAAAGGCAGUGGUCUGGACGACGUCUAGUUAACUAUAGUACUUACCGUCAAAUAAACUUCCACGAAGUCUACUUGCAGAACGGACGACGAUUAAUACAACAAGAACGUCACGCCUGGUACACUUUUUACAUUGAACAUUGUUUCCCUGCUAGGUCGACAUAAAACGUUUGGAAAACAGGGAGCGACUGAUUACCAACGGAACAUCCUUGUAAAUCUAUCCUGAAGAUUACUCUAAAGGGGGGUUUCUAGUCCUUUAGACUCAUCCACAAAAACCACUCCUUGACAAGAGGGUCUCGUUUUGUCGGGUAGUUCAUAUUACAACAUGUAUUAUCAGCACCCGAAUUGGGGUGACUCACUUUAAAGGGACUGUUCUGAGUUAGGGAGCAGCUAGGAAGGUUAAAAUGUCAUCGGUAAUUAUUCAUAUGGUAUACAUUUUCGUAGUCCAACCUCCGGUCGUCUGAAGUAUCGUAGUUCAUGAGAGUCACGAAGGAGG
rnacentral:rRNA from 1 species